rnacentral:rRNA from 1 species
UACGUAGGGUGCGAGCGUUAAUCGGAAUUACUGGGCGUAAAGCGUGCGCAGGCGGUGAUGUAAGACAGAUGUGAAAUCCCCGGGCUCAACCUGGGAACUGCAUUUGUGACUGCAUCGCUGGAGUGCGGCAGAGGGGGAUGGAAUUCCGCGUGUAGCAGUGAAAUGCGUAGAUAUCAGGAGGAAUACCGAUGGCGAAGGCAGGUCUCUGGGCUAUAACUGACGCUCAUGC